UACGUAGGGUGCAAGCGUUGUCCGGAAUUAUUGGGCGUAAAGGGCGCGUAGGCGGCGUGUCAAGUCGAUUGUGAAUCUCCGGCUUAACUCGGAACGGCCAAUCGAUACUGACGUGCUAGAGUGCAGAAAGGGCAAUCGGAAUUCUUGGUGUAGCGGUGAAAUGCGUAGAUAUCGAGAGGAACACCUGCGGCGAAGGCGGGUUGCUGGGCCGACACUGACGCUGAUGCGCGAAAGCCAGGGGAGCGAACGGG
rnacentral:rRNA from 1 species